UUUCGCAAGGUCCGUGGGGCAACAUGAAUGUAGCAAUACAUUUGAUGGCGCCGGCAAACGGGUGCGGAACACGUACACAACCUUCCUAUAAGUGGGGAAUAGCCCAGAGAAAUUUGGAUUAAUACCCCGUAACAUAACGAUGUGGCAUCACAUUGUUAUUAUAGCUUCGGCGCUUAUUGAUGGGUGUGCGGCUGAUUAGAUAGUUGGCGGGGUAACGGCCCACCAAGUCUACGAUCAGUAGCUGAUGUGAGAGCAUGAUCAGCCACACGGGCACUGAGACACGGGCCCGACUCCUACGGGAGGCAGCAGUAAGGAAUAUUGGUCAAUGGACGCAAGUCUGAACCAGCCAUGCCGCGUGAAGGAUUAAGGUCCUCUGGAUUGUAAACUUCUUUUAUCUGGGACGAAAAAAGGCGAUUCUUCGUCACUUGACGGUACCAGAUGAAUAAGCACCGGCUAACUCCGUGCCAGCAGCCGCGGUAAUACGGAGGGUGCAAGCGUUAUCCGGAUUCACUGGGUUUAAAGGGUGCGUAGGCGGGCAGGUAAGUCAGUGGUGAAAUCCUGGAGCUUAACUCCAGAACUGCCAUUGAUACUAUCUGUCUUGAAUAUUGUGAAGGUAAGCGGAAUAUGUCAUGUAGCGGUGAAAUGCUUAGAUAUGACAUAGAACACCUAUUGCGAAGGCAGCUUACUACGCAUAUAUUGACGCUGAGGCACGAAAGCGUGGGGAUCAGCAGGAUUAGAUACCCUGGUAGUCCACGCCCUAAACGAUGGAUACUCGACAUACGCGAUACACUGUGUGUUGUCUGAGCG
rnacentral:rRNA from 1 species